AUGAGAAAGGACGUGGUCUUUUGUCUCAUGAAAUCAGCGCGACAUAUUUCCACACAGGAUUUCUCACAGCUUCAGUUCCAUGCUGAAAAUCAGUGGACAUGCCAAUUGACUCCAGCUGAAUCGCUGCCCAUUCAUUUAGCUCUGAUUCAAGAGGCUUCUAGCUUUUUUCCUCACAGUUUUGAGUCUGCCUUCUGCUCGCAUAUUCUUUUUGCCUGCGAUGACAUCAGAUGUGUGCAGCAACUGAGAGAGAAUCCUGGCUGUGAAUUACAAGGUGGUGUGAUUACGAAGAUCUUCAUUCGCUGCCUUUCGUCAGCGAGCCGCCAGAAGGCCGAUAGCCAAACGCUAACAUUUGAUUGA
rnacentral:lncRNA from 1 species